CGCUAAGUGGAGAACGUUGUGGAGUUACUGAGACAACCAGGAGGUUGGCUUAGAAGCAGCAAUCCUUUAAAGAAAGCGUAAUAGCUCACUGGUCUAGUGACUCUGCGCGGAAAAUAUAACGGGGCUCAAGCGUGUUACCGAAGCCACGGGUGUGCAACGAUUCCGUUGCACGCGGUAGGAGAGCGUUCUCGCGUAGGAUGAAGGUCGAUCGUAAGGAUGGCUGGACGAACGAGAAGUGAUCAUGCUGGCGUAAGUAGCGUUCAAAUACGGGUGAAAAACCCGUACGCCGUAAACUCAAGGGUUCCUGGGCAAGGAUAAUCCUCCUAAGGGUUAGUCGAGACCUAAGAUGAGGCCUAUUGGCGUAAUCGAUGGAAAUACGGUUAAUAUUCCGUAACCACUGGCAGCGUAGCGCAGGAGGGACGGACUAGGUUAGCUCAAGCCUUUAUUGGUUCUGGGUCGGAGGCUGUAGGAGGUCACGUUGGCAAAUCCGCGUGGCAACUCUGAAGCUGAUGAAAUGGGUCUUUUGACCUAAAUUUGAGUGAAACCAUGGUCCCAAGAAAAGCUUCGGCGUGUUUUCUGUUAGUGCUCGUACCGUAAACCGACUCAGGUGAGUGGGAUGAAUAUUCUCAGGCGAUUGGGUUAAAUCUGGUUAAGGAACUCGGCAAAUUAACACCGUAACUUCGGGAUAAGGUGUGCCUAACCUCUUUUAGGGGUGGCCGCAGAGAAAUGGGAGUAGCGACUGUUUAUCAAAAACACAGGUAUGUGCAAAGUCACAAGACGACGUAUACGUACUGACGCCUGCCCGGUGCUGGAAGGUUAAGAGGAUUUGUCAACGCAAGUGAAGCAGAGAAUCGAAGCCCCAGUAAACGGCGGCCGUAACUAUAACGGUCCUAAGGUAGCGAAAUUCCUUGUCGGGUAAGUUCCGACCUGCACGAAUGGCGUAACGACUUCUCCGGUGUCUCAACCAAGGGCCUCGCGAAAUUGAAUUCUCGGUGAAAAUGCCGGGUACCCGCAGAAAGACGGAAAGACCCCGUGAACCUUUACUGUAGCUUGACAGUGAUUUUAGAGUUUUCAUGUGUAGGAUAGGUGGGAGCCUUUGAAGCCAGGUCGCUAGACUUGGUGGAGGCAACCUUGAAAUACCACCCUUGGAAACUUUGAAAUCUAACCUGCUCCUCUAAUCGAGGAGAGGGACACUGUCUGGUGGGCAGUUUGACUGGGGCGGUCGCCUCCUAAAAAGUAACGGAGGCGCGCGAUGGUCCCCUCAGCCUGAUUGGAAACCAGGCGUCGAGUGCAUUGGCAUAAGGGGGCUUGACUGCGAGACCUACAAGUCGAGCAGGUGCGAAAGCAGGCCAAAGUGAUCCGGUGGUCCCGCGUGGAAGGGCCAUCGCUCAACGGAUAAAAGGUACUCCGGGGAUAACAGGCUUAUUCCGCCCAAGAGUCCAUAUCGACGGCGGAGUUUGGCACCUCGAUGUCGGCUCAUCACAUCCUGGGGCUGGAGCAGGUCCCAAGGGUUUGGCUGUUCGCCAAUUAAAGUGGUACGCGAGCUGGGUUCAGAACGUCGUGAGACAGUUUGGUCCUUAUCUUCUGUGGGCGUAAGAAAUUUGAACAGAUCUGUCCUUAGUACGAGAGGACCGGGAUGGACGAACCUCUGGUGUUCCUGUUGUCGCGCCAGCGGCAAUGCAGGGUAGCUACGUUUGGAAUGGAUAACCGCUGAAAGCAUCUAAGCGGGAAGCCAACUCUAAGAUUAGAUUUCUCUGGGGCUUCGGCCCCCUAAAGACUCCUCGGAGACUACGAGGUUGAUAGGCAUAAAGUGUACAUACAGUAAUGUAUUCAGCUUAUAUGUACUAAUAGGUCGUGAGGCUUUUUUAA
rnacentral:rRNA from 1 species